rnacentral:rRNA from 1 species
UUUAACUGAGCGUUCAGUUACUUGACGUAGACCCGAAACCGGGCGACCUACCCAUGAGCAGGAUGAAGCGAAAGUAAAAUUUCGUGGAGGUCCGAACCCACGAGCGUUGAAAAGCUCGGGGAUGACUUGUGGGUAGCGGUGAAAUUCCAAUCGAGCCCGGAGAUAGCUGGUUCUCCCCGAAAUAGCUUUAGGGCUAGCCUCAAGGUGAGAGAUACGGAGGUAGAGCACUGAAUGUCCUAGGGGGUAUUGCACCUACCGAAGACUAUCAAACUCCGAAUGCCGUCAUCUUAUACUUGGGAGUCAGACUGUGGGUGAUAAGAUUCAUAGUCGAAAGGGCAACAGCCCAGAUCGUCAGCUAAGGUCCCUAAAUGUAAGUUAAGUGGUAAAGGAUGUGGGAUUGCACAGACAACCAGGAUGUUGGCUUAGAAGCAGCCACUCAUUCAAAGAGUGCGUAAUAGCUCACUGGUCGAGUGAUCCUGCGCCGAAGAUUUCCGGGGCUAAAACUUACUACCGAAGCUACGGCAUCAGUAAUGAUGGGUAGGGGAGCUUCCCAUACGGGUUGAAGCAUGACCGUAAGGACAUGUGGACAGUAUGGGAGUGAGAAUGUUGGCAUGAGUAGCGAGAUGUGGGUGAGAAUCCCACAGGCCGUAAACCCAAGGUUUCCAGGGGAAGGUUCGUCCGCCCUGGGUUAGUCGGGACCUAAGCUGAGGCCGAAAGGCGUAGGUGAUGGACAACAGGUUGAUAUUCCUGUACUACCGAUAACC